rnacentral:lncRNA from 1 species
GUUUAGUGUGUGUGAAUGCCAUGGUGCCCAUCAAGUAUUUUUUUUUAGUAAGGUCUGAAAUUUGGAUAGGAAAGAAUAUCGGAGAAUGGGUAAAAUUUACAGAAAAAUGGACCAAAAAAAAAAGAUUAAAAAAAAAGAACAGAGAACACUGGUGUUCAAAUAUAAAGAAAAGGAGAAAAGAGCAAAAAAUACUAAAGAAUAGAGAAAUAUUACCUUAAAAAUUAAAGAAUACAGAAGGGAAAUACCUAAUAUCGAGAUCAUCUUUUAUUCUUAUUCAAUAUCUUUGUAAUAAUUUCAUAAAAUAAGUAUACCUAUUUUUGUAACC